CCUCCCUCUCCCAUCCCAGUCUCUCCAUCAGCCUCCCCCUCCUCCCUCUCUCCUUCUGUCAGCAUGGGUUUUGUUCCCUCUCUCUCUCUCUCUUUGUUUCCUUGUCACUUCAGAGAAGAAGCAGAAUUAGGAUCCAUUACACACACCUUGACACACCAGACACACCCUCUACAGAUGAGAUCAGGUCUGUGUGUUCCAUAGCAGCGGUGCCACUGUGGGAUGUAAUGGAGGAGUCUGUUGGGAAGAGCAGAGGUUGUAACUCCACCUAGUGUUCACUGGAGAAACUACAUCUGGAGGAGGCGCAGUGUCUUAUGUCCUCAUGUUUGAUAUAUGAUUAAUAUUCAAUGCAAAAUAUUAGGUUAACAUUUUGUAUUUUUUUAAAGCACAAGAAAUAAAAAAAUGUAAAGUUGGAAUUCAGGUGAGAGUCAGACAACAUAUCUUUCUGGAAGGAGGGGUGAAGGUGGUCUGGAGGUGAAGGAGGUGUGGUGGUGGGAGGUGUGGAGGAGGUCUGGAGGUGGAGGAGGUAUGGAGGGGGUCUGGAGUUGAAGGAGGUGUGGUGGUAGGAGGUGUGGAGGAGGUCUGGAGGUGGAGGAGGUAUGGAGGGGGUCUGGAGGUGGAGGAGGAGUGGUGGUGGGAGGUCUGGAGGUGGAGGAGGUGUGGUGGUGGGAGGUGAGGAGGAGGUCUGGAGGUGGAGGAGGUGUGGUGGUGGGAGGUGUGGAGGAGGUCUGGAGGUGGAGGAGGUCAAUCAAUCAAUCAAAUGUAUUUAUAAAGCCCUUUUUACAUCAGCAGUUGUCACAAAGUGCUUUUACAAAACACCCGGCCUUAAACCACAAGGAGCAAACAACUGAAGUGUUGUAGUGUUGCUAGAAAAAAGGGAAAAAAAGCAGUAAUUUAGGAAGAAACCUAGAGAGGACCCAGGCUCAGAGGGGGGACCAGUCGUCUUCUGGCUGUGCUGGGUGAACAUUUUAAGAGUACAAAUUGUAAUAAUUAAUAAAUGCAUGCGGGUUGAGUCCAGAGUCUAUUUAAACAUAGUCCAGGUCAGAAGCAUGACCAGAUGGACAAGGACAGGGACAACCCGGGAGGGGGGGGGCAGCAGAGUGGCAGGUGAAAUCUCAGCUAUCUUCUUAUUCUGCAACACAACCAGGAGGACUCUGGACAGGGACCAGGACCUCAUGUCCUCAGUCCUAAGUUUAAAACGGCAGGAGACAGGUAAAAUGUGGUGAUGAGAGCCCACCUGGCAAGACAGCAAGGGUGGACAGUAUGAAGACUUUCUGGUCACAUUCACGCCCCCGGGCCAGGCUACACCUAAUUAUAAACCGUGCUGUAGAGAUGAGUCUUUAGUAGACACUUGAAAGUUUGCACUGAGUUUGCAUUUCUAACCUUAAUUGGCAGAUCAUUCCACAGUAGUGGAGCUCUAUGAGAGAAGGCCCUGCCUCCGGCAGUUUGUUUAGAGAUUCUAGGUACAAUUAAAAGGCCUGCAUCUUGCGAUCGUAGGUCACGUGUAGGUAUGUAUGGCUGGAUCAUUUCAGCAAGGUAAGUAGGAGCAAGUCCAUGUAUUGAUUUAUAGGAGUAAAACCUUAAAAUCAGCGCUAACCCUAACAGGCAGCCAGUGUAAGGACGCUAGGACAGGAGUAAUGUGUUAAAAUUUUUAUGUUUUUUGAAGUUUAUUUAUAAAUUUUUCUGGAUAACCAGAGAGAAGAGCAUUGAAGUAAUCUAGUCUAGAAGUAACGAAAGCAUGGAUUACUUUUUCUGCAUCAGUUUUUGAUAGAAAGUUUCUGAUUUUUGCAAUGUUUCGAAGAUGAAAAUAAGCAACUCUUGAGACAUAUUUUAUUUGUUCUUCAAAGGAGAGGUCAGGGUCAAGGGUAACGCCAAGGUUUUUUACAGUUUUUUGGGAUACGACCAUGCAGCCGUCGAGGUUCACAGUGUGCUCUGCUAACAACGCUCUUUGUUUUUUGGGUCCUAAAAUGAGCAUUUCUGUUUUUCUUGAGUUUAAAAACAAGAAGUUCUCUGUCAUUCACUUCCUAAUAUCUGAAAAGGAGGUGUAGUGGUGAGAGGUGUGAAGGAGGUCCGGAGGUGGAGGAGGUGUGGUGGUGAUAAGUUUGGAAGAGGUCUGGAGGUAGAGGAAGUGUGGUAGUGAGAGGUGUGGAGGAGGUCUGGAGGGGGAGGAGGUGUGGUGGUGAUAAGUUUGGAGGAGGUCUGGAGGUAGAGGAAGUGUGGUGGUGAGAGGUGUGGAGGAGGUCUGGAGGGGGAGGUGUGGAGGGGGAGGAGGUGUGGUGGUGAGAGGUGUGGAGGAGGUCUGGAGGGGGAGGUGUGGAGGGGAAGGAGGUCUGGAGGUAGAGGAAGUGUGGUGGUGAGAGGUGUGGAGGAGGUCUGGAGGGGGAGGUGUGGAGGAGGUGUGGAGGGGGAGGAGGUGUGGUGGUGAGAGGUGUGGAGGAGGUGUGAAGGGGGAGGAGGUGUGGUGGUGAGAGGUGUGGAGGAGGUCUGGAGUGGGAGGUGUGGAGGAGGUGUGGAGGAGGUGUGAAGGGGGAGGAGGUGUGGUGGUGAGAGGUGUGGAGGAGGUCUGGAGGGGGAGGUGUGGAGGAGCUGUGGAGGGGGAGGAGGUGUGGUGGUGAGAGGUGUGGAGGAGACUGGCGUCUGACUCAAACAGAACAUUCUUUAGGUUUCCAGAUUUCCAACUGAUCUUGAGAUAGUUACCCCUGAGGUCAUUACCCAGUCAGGGUCCGUAAGGACCUCAAACAACAACGCUGUAUAUUUAUACACACACACACACAGACAGACAUCAUGAGACCUGGUGCCUGAUGGGUAAACGGCAGUAGGUGUAGCCAGCUCCACAUCGCUAACGGAAAUGUCCGGCAGUCCCUCCCCUACAGGCCAUCGCCACAACGACCCACCAGACAAUAGAGGACAGGAUCCUCCACUCUGAAAGGAAGGCAGGUCACUUCCUGUAGCACUGUGCUAGCAGCUCAGUUAAUACAUGCGUGUGUUUUUCUGUGUGUCAUAGAGGUGAAUAGAGGGAACAAAUCCAUACCAGUGUCCCUAUUUAUCACUUUAAUAAUAAUACAAAAUCCCUCCUGAUAAAGCAUUCGGAUCGGCCUGUUCUAAAAGCCAAAUCUAAUUUCACUGCUCCACAAAUUAAGGGAACAUGUAAAUCAUACAUUGGGUCUCAAAGUAAACAGUCUGUUAUUUCAAUUGUUUACUUUGAUUUUCGUUGUGAGUUUGAAUCCAGCCCUCAAUCGGUUGGUGAUUUUGGUUUCCAUUGACCGUUGUUACAUCAUUUUGUUCUCAGUGAAUUACACAAUAUACAGCAAAGAUUUUGAUGUAUCACCACCACACCUCAUCCACCUCCAUCCACCUGGGCUGGAUUCAAACACACCGAAAAUCAAAGAAAACAACUGAAAUCACAGGCUGUUCCAACUUGCAUGAAUUACAUCACAGUGACUCAAUGUGACUCAGUAGUGUGUAUGACCUCCAUGUGCCUGUAUGCACUCCCAACAACGUCUGGGCAUGCUCCUGAUGAGAUGGCAGAUGGUGUCCUGGGGGAUCUCCUCCCAGACCUGGAUCAGGGCAUCAGUGAGCUCCUGGGCAGUCUGUGGCAUUUCUUGGCGGCGUCGGAUGCACUGAUACAUAACGUCCCAGAGGGUCUCAAUUGAUUUCAGGACAGGGGAAAAUGAGGGCCAGUCAAUGGCAUCAAUGCCUUCGUCAUCCAGGAACUGCAUACACACUUUGGCCACAUGAGGCCGGGCAUUGUCCUGCACCAGGAGGAACCCAGGGCCCACAGCACCAGGUUAAGGUCUGACGAUGGGUCUGAGGUUUUCAUCCCGGUACCUAACAGCAGUCAGGGUACCGCUGGCUAGCACAUGGAGGUCUCUGCGACCCUCCAAGGGUAUGCCUCCCAAGACCAUCAAUUUACAAAGACAAUGGGAUUCAUCAUUAUAAGGAGGAAACAAUUCUGUGGUUUAAGAACAUGUCAUAAAGCUUUUCUUAAAGCCUUUCUCAAGAAAUUCAUUUAAUUAGAAACGUAGGAAGAUUUUGGUGAAUGAGGCCCAUUGAUCUGAGCCUCCCUGGGAGAAAGCAAAAUGACCCAUUAACCUAUUUUAAAUGCAUUAAACUCAGAGAUCUGAAACAACAAAAAUCUAAGAUCAAGCUAAUGUAGAGUUACUUGUUAAACAACACUUGAUGCACAAUUCAGGUCAGUAUUGGCCAAACAAUGUAAAACAAAUGUCUUUUAGAUUCUCCCUGAAAUCAACCAGUGAGGUUUCAAGAUUGACAACUCAACUGAGUCCGCCAGCUUUUGUCAGCGGUUCACUUCCCAAGCUGAUGCUUUAUCCUGUGUUCCUAUUCUCCUUUACUUCUGUGUGCCUGGCUGACACCUCUGCUUAGGUGUUGGCCCAUUUCUUCAAGCUCAACAUCAACAAAACAGAGCUGCUCUUCCUCAGGGGGGGUCCACCCACACAAAUGCACUAAGAUACAGAACACAGAGAGGGAGAGGGUAUGUUUAGCCAGAGCCCAGAGACAACAAAGUGUAUGGCAGCUGCUCCGCCCUCGACCGUAAAGCACUUCAAAGGGUGAUUAAAACAGCAGAGAGCUUCACAAGGUCUGACCUGCCAUCCCUGCAGGAUCUCUACACAGAGAGGUGUAGGAGGAGGAGCAAACGGAUCAUUACAGAUCCCAGCCACCCAUGACAUGGACUGUUUACCAAGCUGCCGUCAGGCAGAAGGUACAGGAGUAUUCAGUCCAAAACUAACGGGCUAUGGGACAGCUUCUUUCCACAGGCUGUAAGGCUGCUCAACUCAGGAACCCCUCUUCCCUUCCAUCUAUAGUCCCAUGCACACCUGUCACUUUAUAUCAUGUACACCUGUCA
ensembl:lncRNA